CGCCGACACCGAGGACAUCUUCGCCCAGGAGUAGGCGGCUCAACGAGCCUGCACGGGCGUUCCGUCGACCAUCGCCUGCACGCGUUCACGACACGACAUGGCACAACCGGGAAUCUUUUGGAGAAACGCUUGGAGGGUCGAAGUAAAGAGUAUGUUUUCGAGAGAGUCAACACCAGUCAUGCUGCCGGGGAAAACUCAGGUGGGUGAUCGUCUGCCUGAUCGGUCCUCGUAGGAGUUCGCUGGGGCCUCGAAUGUUAGCAAUGGGCAAUACUGUGAGCGAUACCGGAGUUCAGUCGAGAA
rnacentral:sRNA from 3 species